rnacentral:lncRNA from 1 species
CAGUAAAACAUGAUUUAUUUUCUGUAUUGUACAUAAAAUAAAACAUGAAUAAAGAUACAAGUCUUACAGUUUCAUAUAAGGAGUGUUGACACAUGAGUUCUCAUUUACAUAAUAUGUUGACACAUGAGUUCUCAUUUACAUAAUCUGUUGACAUAAGAGUUCUCAUUUACAUACAUGAGUUCUCAUUUACAUAAUCUGUUGACACAUGAGUUCUAUUUACAUAAUCUGUUGACACAUGAGUUCUCAUUUACAUAAUCUGUUGACACACGAGUUCUCAUUUACAUAAUCUAUAACAUUUCUUGAAAACAUGUUUCAAAAAAGUAAAAAUGAGAUGGGCAAUUUUCUUCACAAAAAACCUACAAAUUUCUUAUCCCAAUCUUUGAUAAUAACAGUAGGUUUAAGCUUUUCUUGUAACAAAUGUACAAUAACCAAACCACAUAAGACAGCUCCAAACUUUUUUCAAAUGCAUAUUCAACAAAACAUUAGUGAACUUGCUUUCCAAGUUUGUUGGGUAGUUUGAUCAUUUCUUCAAAAUUAAUUCAAAUGUUUGAAGAAAGUGGGGUGUAUAUGUUACAGGUCAAUAUUAAA